ACAGAGAGAGUAAUAAAUUAUGCGAUCUUUCGUUACAAGAACACACGACUGCUAGUUACAAACCACGUGAGGUUUAUUUACAUUUGUGAAUAUGAAAGUUGAUUUCCGUAAUUUUUAAAAUAUUUUUUUACAUAUUAGGUUGGUGGGAAAUAGGAUCUUUUGAAGUCGGCGUGAAAGCUAAAGA